CUCACUCUUUAGGUUAAUCAUUUCUCCUUGAUUUUAUAAAGGAGAUUCUACCUGUUUGUCUUGAGCUGCUGACCACCCAAAGUUUUAACGGUUUUAGGUUCAGUUUUGAAAAAAAUUGAGGAAAAGCAAAGUUACUGUUGUUCCUGUGAACUCUGACUGCCAAGAUGCCUCGAUAAACUGAAAACAGAAAUGGAAAAAUGAAGUCUUCUGAGAGCUGUAGUUCAUUCUUCUCUUCUGAGACCAGCUAUCGAAGUAAAUCUCCAGAAAGCCCUGGCUGAGGCCUCUGAAACCUGCACGCAGGAGUGUCUCAUUCUGGGCCAUUCUGACAACUGCUGGAUGCCACCUUCUUUGACACAGUAUCAACAAUCCAACACACCUUUGCCAUCGUUUGGCUUCCAGCAAGGCUGGGGCCGAGGAGCCAGGCCUGACGGACGACACACUCUUGGGAGGCCCCUUCCAAAGGAUGACACUGACAAAGGCCAAGGUGGGCCCAGGCCCCAGUUCUACAACACCUGUGAAAGACACUGCACCAGUGAAGAUCCUGUCAAAGUCAUCCCUCUGGCAAACUUUGCCAUGUCCCACCAGGCAGCAGUGCCUGGGAGUAGCACUACGUUUAUCCAUGAGCACCAGCUAUAAGUGCAUAUCUGACAAAUCAGCUAUUUCAGGCUUUAAGUGUGACUGUAUAUAGUCACAGCCUAACACCGUUCUUGGUGCAUAUACAAAUUUGUUAGGCUUGUGAAUAUUUAUGUAUAUAGAAUCCUAAAUUUGAACUUGAAAAGCUAAAUCCUUAGGACUUAGUUAAAGAAAAUUUACCAUAAUUCUUGGUGAAAUAUAUAAAAUGGGGAAGAAAACUCACAAUCCAGAACCAAUCAAAAGAAAACCAUAAAAACCGGCUUAUUUUCUUAUAUGGGUCUAUAUAGUGCAAAUAUCUGCUAGCAGGUCUUCCUCCCUGUUGAAAGCAAUUUCUUAGUACAGCUUACGGAAUAUCACAGUAAUAUAACUUAACAAUUUUUUCUGUCUUCAUUGUUAUAAUUUUUAGAAUAUUCAUAAAUUUCACCUUCCAUUUGCUUAGCAAUAGAGAUCAAGCGGUCAGUUUCUUUUUUGGUUACUUUACACAAUAGAAAGAGUAAGAUACAUACUUAGGAAGGAUGGUAUGCGUUUCCACCAAAAUUUACCUUUCAUGUAAUUGAGAAGGAGAACGUACUCAAAGACAUGACAGCUGCUUUUGAUUUUAAUUUUCAGUGGUUGAAUCUACAGCUAUUUAUUUGAAAGAAUGCAGUAGAUGAAAUAGAAAGCUCUUAACUAGGCUUUUCUGUGUGAAAUAGACAACAGGACAAGAUACCAUGUAGAUCCAAAAAUAUUACAAGACUUUUUUUUCUAAGAUUUUCCUUUCUACAAUAAUGGAAGCAAUAGUAUAAUGCAUAUGCUUUUCAAGCUAUAAGUCUAAUUUUAUUAUUAUUAUUAUUAUUUUUAAAUCUUGCAGAGCUUGCUUUGGCUACUGUUCCUGUUAGUUGAAAAUUACAUGGGCACUGCUGAAAUCAGUAGGAAACUGGGGUAGUUUUUUGGCUGAUGUCUUAUUGUGGCUUUAAGCUACUGGUGUUUAAAAUAAUAUUAUAGUGAUGUAUAUGUUUGUUUUACACCUAUAAUCAAUCACCUAUUGCAAGUGUUCAGUAAAAGGUUAGCUAUAAUAUUAGUUACUUCACCCCAAACUUAUAAGAUAAAGGAGUAGUUCUCAAUGUAGCUUAGUUUAUUAUUAGAGAAUCACUGACAUUUCUCAGCAAAGAAAGAGGAAUCUAGGUAAUGAAUGCUGGAUAACUGUAAUUACAAACACACUCCAAUCAUGUUAUUUGACAAAGUCUCAGGAUGAUUCUCUGUAAAGAUCAGGAUUUUAUUUCAGCAUUCUGUGUACUGGAUGAUAUAAUAGUAGCAGUAAUAAAACUAGUGAAUUCUACAGUGGAUAAAAUGGAGAUUCCUUUCUUUAAUGAAAAUAAACCCCACCUUUUCCUUUUAGCAUUUGUUACUGCUUAGCCAUUAUUUACAGUAUGUACAUACCAAGAUUCUUUUCCUUAACAAACUGCAUAACUUUCAUCAGUUUUCUUACUACAUUAAGCAAGACAAUUGAUGUUGCGUGGAGGGAAAUUUGAAAGUGUAUGAGUAUUUCCUAUGGAUAGAAUUCUAUGUAAGCUUCAUACUGUAACUUACGUGUAACAUAAAAAUAAAAUUAAAAAUAACUGUGUAAAAAUGCUGUAAUAUUAGCUGCUUGUAAAAAUUUACAGAAGUUCAAGUUGUUGAGGGUUUCCAAUGAAUGCUAAAAGAGCUUCUAUUAUGUGCCCAGCAGGUAUAAGUAGCUUUAUAUAUUGUUGUCCCCACUGUAAAUCUAUUCAAAUCACAUUUACAUUUUAUGUGCAAAGUAAAAAAAAAAGCAUCACUUUUAAUCUACUGAUAGGGUUUAAUUAAUAAACAUCAGAUUACCUGAUGAUGUACUUCUUUUUUGUUGUUGUUUUUGUUUUGUUUUGUUAAUGUAAUUUUCAGUAAUGUUUAGAAAAUAUGUGGCGCACUGCUUUCCAGUUGCAUGUAAAUCCUGGGGAAAAAAAAAUAACAGUCCUUUGGCUACUGACACACAAUGGUUGAUACAGCUCAUUUUCAGUUCCAGAAUAACUAAAAAUUUGACAAAUUAAUUUACACCUAAUAUAUACAGAGCCAUUUGUUGUUUGCUUUGGAGACAUCAGAGUGAGAAAAUUCAGCAGUCCUUUUCAGGGAUAUACAAAAAAGCUUAUCUGUAGUUUACACAGCCUUACCAAACACAUUAAUUGUGCAAAUUUAGAAUAAUGCUGGCAUAUGAUACUUCCUAUUGUAAACAGAGGACUUUAGUUUUUAUUAUAGAAGUCUGCUAUACAAAGUGUGUAUAGAAUUGGCAGCUGCAUUUGAAAACUCAUUUUUUCCCUCUCAACAUGUCCUUUCUGACAGAAUAUUGUAAUUGAAAUUUAUUGGCAAAGCAAUCCAUUUCUACAGUUUUGCUAUUUUCAUAGGAAAAGAUAAAGACACUAGAAUUAUAUUUUUUUCCAGAGGCAGAAAAACAAAACAAAACAAACAAAAAGUUCAGCAAAUUAUUUCUGAAAAACAAACAGACAAAACAACAACAAACACCAAAAUGAAUGGCCAAAAACCAACAAAAACCCCAAGAACAACUGCUUAAACAAGGAUUGUAAAGACGAACAUGAUAAUAGGAAAUGUUAAAUGUCAUAUCCAUGAAAUUGUGUUAUAUUGUAAAAUUCUGUCAAGAUACAUAACACUUAAUUGUAAAUACAUACUGUAUCAGGAGUUACAUGUUGCUCUCAUUUUUACAUAUUAUAUAUCUAAUAGAUAAAAUUAUGCAUUGGAGGCAACAUUUUUUUCUGAAAACUGUUCAAGCGUCAUGUCAGUAUCCAGAGGAAUAACAUUACUAUAUACUCAUCACACAUCUUGCCAUAUAUAUAAAUAAUUUAUCUAGUGCAUAGGCUGUAUAUUUUUGUGUAAUUUUUUUAGUCACUUAACUUAUUUUAUCUUACUUGUGUGAAUUUGUGAAGAAAACGAUCCUAUAUACAAUAUACAGUAAAAUGGUAGUUACAUGAUUAGAUUUGUUUCAUACAGUGUAAUAAUAAAGGAAAACCUUUGCCUUCAAAGUAAUGUGUCACACAGUCUAGCCUAGAUUUUUUUUCCAAACUCAGUACAUGCUUGUUGCACUUCUAACUACUGCAUUGAGAAGAUAAGUGGUAGCAGCAGAAAGAAAGGUACUUUUUUGAUGAUGUAAAGUAGUCAAGUGUAAAAAAAAGAGAUGAACUGAAGUCAAACUGUUCGUAGUAAAAAAAUGCCAGUUCUUUGUUUUCCUAAACUGUGCUGCAUAACUUAAUUCUGAAGGAAUAAUUAGGCCCGUCUACUUGGCCAAACAGAGGCUACAGAGCACCUGCUCUCUCAGGGCUAUGAGCUAGUCGGAUGCAGGUCAUUUAGCUAAUUAUCAUGGCAAUGAGCCCACGCUAAUAGGACCUGAGGGCUUAGGAACGUUAGCGUGAUAGCUCGGUUGAUGCAAAGUUAGUUAUGUGGUUCUGAAUGCAGCCAGGUCUCUUUGUCUGGCACAGGGAUGGAGGCUCGUAGCCGCUUUGUAUCAGGUAUUUGUGUACCCUGUGUAUGUAGAUGUGUGGGUUUUCGGUUUGUUUUUUUUUUUUUUUCUUCUUCCCUGAGAGAAGCGAUAGGUUGCUCUGUUGUGUUCUGGGCAAACUCUAAUCUAGAGAGGAACCACUUCUGCCUCAAAUUAUCAUUGUUAUGUCCGCUUCUAGCAUGGCUGAGCCAGACAGUUGACUUAAAUAAUUAAGUCAUUAAUGGUUGAUUAAUGCAAGGUUGUUUGAUUCAAGCUUAUAACAUUGCGGUUUGAAAAAGCUUGAUCAUUUACACUUGAUUUUGUUCUUAGCAGUUCUAGCUCAAGUCUUGCUUUUGGAGCUUUAAAGCUACUCCUUACUUAAUAAUCACUUAUUACAUGAUUACACUGCAGUUCAUUAAUUAGAUAAGUAAAAAGGGAGGGAUUGGUUUGUGCAGACACAGAGCAAAGUUGAAGGCAAAGAUUUUAUUUGGUAUAUGUAGGAAAAUUGUGUAUAACAUGUUAUCCCUAGUGAAGAAAAGAGACUGACAAUUUCUUGUAAAUAUUUGGGUUUGUAUUUCUGGGAAACGUCCCUGCUCUAUGGCAUACUACAGGAUCUGAGAGUGAGCAGUGUAUGUCUGUGUACUGAAACAGCCCUAACCAUGCUUUACAAAUUGUGCAGUUGGACAUCAUAUAUCAUUGUCCAGCAGCUUUUAAAGUCCAGUAAAUUCGCAGUAGUUCUAUUUCAGGUUUCUGUACAGCAUGUUGUCUUGUUAAUUACAAUGUUUAUUAAUAAACUAGAUCCACAAAAGCAGUUUUUUUCUUUGCACUGUCGUCUUUGAGUUUCUGAAACACAGAUUUUAUUUUAUUUUUUUAAGUAUUCCUCCACCUAUGCUUCCUUCAUUCCUUGCUUCCCAAAACUUAUUUCUUUGUGAAGCCCCAGACUGUAAAGAAGUCAAGGAAAAGUUAACUUAGCUUGCAGUUGCUUCACAGAAGUGAGCAGCAAGCUUUUGGUAGGCCGUGGAAAUAUUCACACUUCAGUAUGCAUAGCAGCCUAGCUUUCUACUAUCAGAUAAAUUUUACGCUUCUCUGUCGCUUCUUUUUGUACAAACCUCCUACCCUCUACUAUGCCUCUGGUACACUUAUUUAUUGAAAAUCAUUACAAGCUGGAGGUUGGAAUGUUUGUAGGUUUUGUAUUGUUAAAAAUGAGAAAAUGAGCUAUUUCUAAUUGAGAGAACGUGGCUAGUGUGUUGUUGUUGAGGUGAAAAGAUUAACCUCUCACUAUGGAUGUCAUCUAAUGAACUGGCAGACAAAUGAGAAACUAAGGAAAUAAUGUUUCGUGCAUUUUCUGUAUUAUUUAGUAUUUAAAAAAGAACUUCUGAUAGUUCUCUUGAUAUCAAGACAGUGGUAUCUUAUUCUUUGACACAAUUAUGACUUUGGAAGCACAGUUUUCUUGUCUGUCUGCUGAACCCCUUUCAAGAAAAGAACGUGCUCAGCCUACAAAUUAAAAUGAACAAACAAACAAAAAAACCUACACCACAUUAGAAGAGAGAAGGCUACCCUGGCUUGGAUCAUAAAUUCUCAAGCAGUAGUGGUCUGGAAGGGCAAACUCAGGAAGUAAUGAAACUCGGAUUUCACAGAGCUAUUAUAAGCCAGUUUUAAGAAUAAUAGGGCAAGACAGAAAUAUGCGGUAUCUGAAGAUUUGCAUAAUUUUAGCAUUGGUGUGUUGCAAAACUGCAGCAGGAUUGCAGAAGUAAUGUUUCCUCAGAAUCAUCUGUUUGCAUUCCUUCCUGUGGUCACAAAAGAAUACAUGGUAUGCUUCUCUGGCUGUGCUGGAAAUAACUGAAUCCCAGAUAUCUGUUGGGGAACUCUAUAGGAUGCAGAGUUUUCACCGAAGUGCUGCAGCACUAAGGGCUGAUAAACUGUUCAAAAGCCUCUAAGACAGACUCCAAGGCUCCCUGCUAGGAAUUAUUCCAGCGAGGUAAUUGCUUGUUAGGAUGUACAAUGGGAUUUAUUUAAAGAACAUGGGUUUACCAGUAGCAGGCAAUAUUGGAGAUGUGCUGCCUAUGUGAUCAUUUAGCACUUUCUUUGCCUUUUCUUCAAGUUUCUUUCAGGUGUGACAUUAGAACUGAGCUGCGGUUUGACUGAAUAGCAGCUAGCUCCUCCUUAGAACGGAUAAGUAUCCAGUAGAAGAAAAUGAGCAAGAAGCCAGUUUCUGCAGUGAACAAAAAGCAGCUCUUCUCCUUUGUGUGGUGGCGAAAGUCAAAUUUUCACAGGGGUACAUAUAACUCUACUUGCAAAUAACAGCACAAGAGCCAGCCGUGCAGAGAAGUGUGCUCCUAUAGUGCAAAACAGAAUCUAUUCAAGAAGGAGAAACAUCAACAG